GCAAGUCGAACGAGAAAGUUUCUUCGGAAAUGAGUAAAGUGGCGCACGGGUGAGUAACGCGUAGAUAACCUGUCCAAGCGAUUGGGAUAGCCCUCCGAAAGGGGGAUUAAUACCGGAUACGUUGAUUGCUUUUAAGGGUAAUCAAGAAAGGCGGCCUCUAUUUAUAAGCUGUCGCGCAUGGAGGGGUCUGCGUACCAUUAGUUUGUUGGUGGGGUAAUGGCCUACCAAGACUACGAUGGUUAACGGGUCUGAGAGGAUGAUC
rnacentral:rRNA from 1 species